GGCGGGUUCCGCGGGCAGGUUGUGCGGGACCUGCCGGAGUUUGCGGGGGCGGGAGCGUCCUGGACUCCGCGUCCCCGGGCACCCCGCGCGCUGACCCGCAGGGGCUGGCAAGUGUCUGGUCCCGGCGCUGCCGGCGCUCAGGCUGCGCCCUGAGCCCGCAGGAAGCGGGCGUGUGCUGAGCGUCUGUGACCCUCGCGGCGGAAUAAACAGGAAGCGACGAGCACCCAGCCGGGCCACCCUGCUUUUGUUGUGCGGGCUGCGGGGCGCAGCGCGGAGGACGCUUCCUGGGACCCCAGCCGGCCGCCCCGGGGCCGGGCGCGCCCUCCGUUGAAGUUCUACAUUUGUAACGUCAAACUGCUGUCUCCUGAUGGGACCAUUUUCAAGAACUGACAUCAGUUUUCAUACAGCUUAAAAGGUGAGUAAAACUUGAGACUCUCCCCUUUGGUAACGUUCCUGAAGCAGAGCUUGUCCCAGCAUUGACUGUUCUGGGAUGCUGUUCCUCUCAGGAAAGUGGUCCCAACUUCUGGGUGUAUAGACCAUCUCACCAGGGUGACUUUUUCACCACUGAUGGGGCAAACUUGCACAAUACCAGAUUAAAUGUGAUUUCUUUUUUUAAUAUGCCAGUAUGUUUACAGGGG
rnacentral:lncRNA from 1 species